rnacentral:rRNA from 1 species
AAAGACUUGACGGUACUUCACAUCAACCUAGAGGAGCCUGUCCGAUAACCGAUACCCCACGAUUAACCCAACCUACUCUAGCCCAUCAGUCUAUAUACCGCCGUCGCCAGCCCACCUUGUGAAAGAAAUAAAGUGAACCUAACAAGCUACCCCUAACAUGACAGGUCGAGGUGUAACAAAUGAGUGGGUAAAAGAUGGGCUACAUUUUCUUCCAUGCAGAAAAUACGAAUAAACUAUGAAACUAAAAACUGAAGGUGGAUUUAGCAGUAUGUUAAGGAUAAAAUACUUA